UACGUAGGGGGCAAGCGUUGUCCGGAUUUAUUGGGCGUAAAGAGCGUGUAGGCGGCUAGGUAGGUCCGUUGUGAAAACUCGAGGCUCAACCUCGAGACGUCGAUGGAAACCAUCUAGCUAGAGUCCGGAAGAGGAGAGUGGAAUUCCUGGUGUAGCGGUGAAAUGCGCAGAUAUCAGGAAGAACACCCGUGGCGAAGGCAGGUCUCUGGGCCACUACUGACGCUGAGAAGCGAAAGCAUGGGGAGCGAACAGG
rnacentral:rRNA from 1 species